rnacentral:rRNA from 1 species
GAUGAACGCUGGCGGCGUGCCUAAUACAUGCAAGUCGAGCGAACAGACGAGGAGCUUGCUCCUCUGACGUUAGCGGCGGACGGGUGAGUAACACGUGGAUAACCUACCUAUAAGACUGGGAUAACUUCGGGAAACCGGAGCUAAUACCGGAUAAUAUAUUGAACCGCAUGGUUCAAUAGUGAAAGACGGUUUUGCUGUCACUUAUAGAUGGAUCCGCGCCGCAUUAGCUAGUUGGUAAGGUAACGGCUUACCAAGGCAACGAUGCGUAGCCGACCUGAGAGGGUGAUCGGCCACACUGGAACUGAGACACGGUCCAGACGCCUACGGGAGGCAGCAGUAGGGAAUCUUCCGCAAUGGGCGAAAGCCUGACGGAGCAACGCCGCGUGAGUGAUGAAGGGCUUCGGAUCGUAAAACUCUGUUAUUAGGGAAGAACAAAUGUGUAAGUAACUAUGCACGUCUUGACGGUACCUAAUCAGAAAGCCACGGCUAACUACGU